ACGCUCGACACCUACGGGAGGUAGCAGUGGGGAAUAUUGCACAAUGGGGGAAACCCUGAUGCAGCGACGCCGCGUGAGCGAAGAAGUAUUUCGGUAUGUAAAGCUCUAUCAGCAGGGAAGAUAAUGACGGUACCUGACUAAGAAGCUCCGGCUAAAUACGUGCCAGCAGCCGCGGUAAUCUGAGCGGGCUGGCAAGGC
rnacentral:rRNA from 1 species